AUGGCCCUGGAGGAAGAGUGGCUGCGCAGCCGUCUCAGGCUGUGUGAGCUGCGCACGGAGGAGAGACCUGACUGUGGGGAGACGCGCGUGGGACACAUGCAGGUGACUGUCAACUGCCAGGCCUGUCCCCCGCCAGCGUACAACAGAUGCUCUCUUCUGAGUUCCCUGAGCAUGUAUACCCAAGCCCUGAUGGACGCCGCGAGGAGGGCACCUGCCGGGGAAGGACCGCCGCCACGGGCGAGAAACGGUGCCCUCGAGGGGUUUGCAGCGGCCCUGACGGAAAGCAUCCUGCAGUCGGCGUGGCAUCGCUGGGAGGUGGGCGAGAGCCAAAGGGCGCAACACUGUGGCCAGCAUGAGGAGGACAAGGCCAAAACCUCGUCCCAGAUUACGGUCCCUCCGGAAGGUGCUGGACACGCACCGAGCGUCACUCAGGAACGGAAGCCCCCCUUGGAGACACUGUGGGAGGCAGGGGGCGAUGAGGGCAUGGCGGUGUACGAUGAGGACAGCCUCCCCUCCGCCGUGGCCCACUCUGCGCUUCCCAGUGAGGGCUCCAUCGACUACCCUAGUGCUCCGCCCACCUCCCCCCUUCUCCCAGAAACGGUCAGGAGUCCAGGAGGUUUCUCAAGGAGCCUCAAAUGCGGCUUGGCCAACGGAUUCCGUCCCUCUCCACCCCCACCGACCCCUAAAGAUGCCGCCUGCUCGGAGCAGGGCAGUCCCGUCAUCGGGGAGGACAAGGCAGACUUCAUGGCGCGACUGAUGCGCUCGCUGUCGCUCGAGUGCACUCAGGACGAGCUGAGCGGGACGGAGGUCCAGAAGGACGGGACAACGAGGAGCGGACGAGCCAGAGCGGAGAUAACCUGCUUAUCGGAUUAUGCGGACUGGCUGUCGGCAGAGAUCAUCGAGGGGCUCGUGACGCUCAGCCCAGAGCAGUCAGAGGAACCCGGCGGAGUGGAGAUCAGUGCUGAGAGUCCUGGCAUACAGAGUCACCAGACGGGUCCUAUGUCCUGCAGUGUGGAGGGCGAUCCAAACGGUGGAGCCACACGCGCAGCGGCUGAGAGCUGGGCUGAGAGGGUGCUGGAAAUUGCAGUGCUGGAGGCAGCGGCAAAGCAGAAGGAAAUGCAAGAAGGUUCCGGGCCUUCGAGGGCAGGGCCGUCUGUGGACGUUGCGCCGUGUCGUGGGACUCCGACACAGAGAGGGCACCCCGACAUCGGUGGAUCCGGGAUGGAAGGUCUGGAGGAGCUUGCUGAGGAAUUGGUUGCCGAGGCUCUGCAACAGGCAGGCCUCUGUCAACAACCGGACCAGGAGCAAGACGGUCGCUCCGAGAACAACCUGACCCCGGCGCUGGAACAGAGGACGCAGCCCUGCCUCGAACCCCAAACCCUCGGCAGGUCAAGACUCCCCAGCCUAGGACCAAGGCCCCACCUGACCCCUCUGCCUCCCCGGUGCAGCUCUUUCGCAUCAGACCUAGCGGAGAAAGUGCUGAGAAGCUCUACGCUGGAAGCCGCCAAGCUGCGCAGAGGGCCGGCUGGGUCACGGGUUCGAGCGCUGCUGGGCAGCUGGAACCACAGCGGCUCGCGGGCACUGCAGGGCCUGCUCCUCUGGGCUGCCGCCUCGCACAUGGAGACCGCGGUCCUGCAGCUCACACUCACGGACGCGCAGCUUCAAACAAAGUUUUGCAGCGUGGCCCGGCGAGCGCAGCUCUCUGGCUGGACCGUGGGAGACCUGGUCACAUCGGUGCUGCGGUUCUGCGAACAGGACGAGAGGGCCGUGGAGAGGAGGCAGAGUCUCACUGACCUCUGUCUGAUCGAGUGUCUGCAGAAGCAGCUGGGAGAAGCUGCUUAGCGGAGCCAGCGACUAGUGCGUGGGGGGGGACGUCUCCAAACAAUAACAGCAAUACAAUAACAGCGCUGGACUGAGACAAGAGCGCAAGAACGGAUGCCGGAACACACGGAUACAUGGCGACUGACACGACGCACCAGAAGCAGGACCGAUUCCCCAGCUAUAGGACUGUCAUCAUGGACUGUCGUCACUCCAGGCCCGGGGGGUGUUUUUUACAUGGAAAAAAUACAUGUAUCACUUGUUUUUAUACUGGAUUUUUGCACUGAAUAAAUAUGCAAAUGUGGGUUAUUUACGCGUUUCG
ensembl:lncRNA